CCACAGCUGUGACCUACACCACAGCUCACAGCAAUGCCGGAUCCUCAACCCACUGAGAGAAGCCAGGGAGCUAAUCCGAGUCCUCAAUGGAUUCUAAUUGUGUUCAUUACCGCUGAUCCAUGAUGGGAACUCCCAAGUGUAUGUUUUGAUUGUUCUCUCAGAAGUCCACCAGCUAUGUUAAUUCCUACAAAGAAGUAGGAAUAGCUCCCUAUUGCCUUUGGAAUAAACUCCAAACUCUGCUUUAUCUAUGAGGUCUGCCAUAACCUAGCUCUCAAUAUUUUUCUGCCUCAUCUAUCAGAACUUUAUCCCUGUGCAUUAUAUUUCAGUCAUAUUUGGCAUUUGUCAUCCCACAUAUGUUCCAGAAAGUUUCACUCUGCCUUCUUUUAUACUUACUGUUUCUUCUGCCUGGAAAACCCUUUUUCCACUUUUACUAACUUGGAUUGAUUUCAGAAACAGUGUAUAAAAAUUCAGGGGAAAAUUUGCUUCUUUCCAAGAUUUGCAUGUAAUUUGUAGUGUUCAGUGAUCUCUUUGGUUUGGAUUUGUUUUCUAUUUUGUUGAAAUAUUUUUAAACCCAAGGAAAUACUGCUUGUGUUUCAGGUAUACAGCAAAGUGUAUAUAUAUGUAUAUUCUUUAUGUAUAUGUAUGUAUAUUCUUUUUCAGAUUCUUUUUCAUUAUAGUUUGUUACAAGAUAUUGAGUAUGGUUCCCUGUCCUUGUUUUUAUCAGAUAUGGACUUUUUGUGUUAUUAUUCUUUUAAAGGGUUCUAAUUCUACCAUUCCUUCUGUGUUUUUUUGCCAUUUAUCUUGUUAAGUGGUCUCUGAGCUGCUUGAAUCUGGUUUGGUGUUUGACAUUAAUCUGGGGAAGUUCUCAGUCAUUAUUGCUUCAAAUAUUUCCUCUGUUCUUUUUUUUCUUCUCCUUCUGGUUUUCCAUUUACAGCACAAGUAGGUACCAUUUGUAGUUGUCCCACAGUUCUUAGCUAUUCUGUUCUAUUUUUUUUUUUCAGUUUUUUUUUCCUCUUUGCUUUUCAGGUUCGGAGGUUUCUACAGACACUUCUCAAGCUGAGAGAUUCUUCAGCCAUGUCUAGUCUACUGAUGAGUACAUCAAAGGCUUUCAUUUCUGACAUAGUCUUUUUGAUCUCUAUUGUUUUAUUUUUAUUGAUUUUAUAACUUCUGUCUCUUUGCUUACAUUAACCAUCCAUUGUUGUUGCAUGUUUUCUACUUUCCCCAUUAGAUCCCAUCGCACUUCAAUAGUUGUUUUCAGUUCCUGGGCUGGUAACUCCCAACAUUCCAACCAUAACUGAGAUCCCUCCCUCACACACAUUUAAAAAUAGGCAGGAAAAAUGCUUUUUGCUUAUGCUAGUCUAUGUACCCCCAAAGAGUCUUCCCCUGGAUCUUGCCACAUCUGCUUCUUUCCCAUCAAUUGACAUUUUGCUCAAGGGUGACCUUGUCGAGUUGAACCAACCCUUCUCUGCUUGCUCAAGCUCUCCCUUCUCCUUACCUGUCAGUUGCUCUGUAUCAUAUUAGCCUGUUUUAUUUUCUUCAUUUUUUAGUGUUUAAUAUUAUUUAUUUGUUUGCAGGUUCAUUUUCUGUCUCUUCUCAUAAGAAGUAUGGAAAUUCUGCUGUCUUUAUUCUAAGACAGAACUAGCACAAAACAGAUGCUCAAUAAACAUUCGUUAAAGACAUAAAUAUGCUAACAUUAGUUAUUCAUAAGAUUUGAUAUUCUAGGCGAUUUUUAAUCUAUAUGUUUUAGAGUGUUCAUAAUAUGUAAAAAUAAACAUUUAUUAUCAUUAUAGUCAGGGAAAAAUUAUUAAAAAUAGUAAGCCCCUAAGUCCUAUCACAUGUCAAGUUUGAAAAAUUAUAAUGCAUAAUGCAUUUAAACACCAAGAAAAAGCAAAAAUGUGAUGGACUCAACCAAAGUUAUGUAGUAGGGGCUCCCAGGAUAGCUAUUUAGAAAAAUAUUGUAUAUAUGUUUUUGAAUGCUCUUUGAUAUUGAUUGAUGGAUUGAGAGCUAUUUUGAGAAUUCAACCAAUUCUUUCUUUACCCCAUUUCAUAUUCAUGAAAAGCUUCACAAUUAAAAUCCUGUGCUUUCUAAGAAAAAAGUAUUUCAGGCUUUUAUGGUAUUUAGCUUUUGUUCCUGAAGUUCUACUCAGAUUUAUUUUGUGUUGCUGCAGAAGAUGCUAAAAGCUUUUGUGCUUUAGCAUGCUACAAGAGUUAGUGCUUCUUCUGUUUAUGGAAAUUUUUAAAUCAGACCCAUUUUUCCAAGUAAAACUACUUUUCACUUUUUCCCUUCUCAUUUUUCCUUCUUGCUUUAUAUGCAUUCUGUGUCUUUCUUCCUUUUCCUUCUUAUAAGGCUCUCAGCAAAGUAGAAACUGAGUAGCCUGCAAUGACUCUUCUUGGAAUUUUCUCUGUUACCAACGGAAGCUGUAUUGGUUGUAAGAGGUUUGUUGCUUUUAUAAAUGUAUAACUUUAUCAAACUGAACAAGCAAUUAAGAAUUCCCUUUUAGUCUGCCUGAGAAUUAAAAAGUUUUUUGGUGUUUUGUUCACCAACUGUAAUGAGGUCAUCAAUUCCCUUCUUAAAGAAGCUAUUGAAAUAUAUUGCUUUUUUUUCCGUCUAUCAAAAAUGUCUCUCAAGAAGUCGCAAUAUCCACAAUAGAAAUAUUGAAUACCCUUGUAUGGCACAAAUGGAACACUGCCAUAUGAUUUUCUAAUUUUCUUUUGCUAAAGAUGUGGCAUUUUUUUAAUGCGUCUCUGUCCGUAUUUCUUCACUGUCUUUAAAUCAGUUUAGCUCUUAGUCCCCAUUCAGAAUGUCUAAAGUCCCACUUCUCUAAGUCUAACGGUUUACCCCUUGGAGGUCUCAUCAACCCUCAGGGCCAGGAACCCACAGAACUCUUCUCACUGCCCUCUUGUACCUCCCCAUUUUUUUUUUAAGUCCAUUGUCAUCACUCCCUCCCCCAUUCCACCAUUGAGAUGUAUCAGUUAAUGUCUUCAGUGAGUUUAAAUAUAGGGAAAGUCAAAUAAAGUCAUUGACUUCAGACUGUUUCCACCUCUAUCUCUGCCCAAAUCCAACAUAAUGUACAAAGAUCAGGACUACUCCUCAAUUGCUAAUCGAUUUUCUUGACACAAAUAUGAGACUGUCAGAAGCAGAGUAAAAAUGAAGGAUCAGGACACCUUCUUUUCCCAAGGCUAGCACUCUAAAGUUGAAAAUGGUUGGCAGGCAGUUAACAAUUCCCUGAAUUCUCACUGCUCUACAAAUAAACCAACUCCUCUUCACUUGUAACCUUGUUACUCUGUCCUUUGCCCUGAGAUCUCUUCCUCCUAACUUCGUUGUUUUCCUUUGCUAUUGCAAUGCCUGGAAGAUGUUCAUUAAAACAAACCAACAAAAACAGAGAAACUUCUAGACCCUGUGCAUCUUAAACUCCUUGGAGAAAAUAGGUGUUACAAAAAUCUAAUGUAUUAAAGAUAAA
rnacentral:lncRNA from 1 species